UACGUAGGGGGCAAGCGUUGUCCGGAAUCAUUGGGCGUAAAGCGCGUGUAGGCGGCCAGAAAAGUCCGCUGUGAAAACUCGAGGCUCAACCUCGAGCUGUCGGUGGAAACUUUCUGGCUAGAGUCCGGAAGAGGAGAAUGGAAUUCCUGGUGUAGCGGUGAAAUGCGCAGAUAUCAGGAAGAACACCCGUGGCGAAGGCGGUUCUCUGGGACGGUACUGACGCUGGAGACGCGAAAGCGUGGGGAGCGAACGGG
rnacentral:rRNA from 1 species